UUAUUAUUAUUAUUAUUUUGUUAAAUUUAAAUUGAUCCAAAAUCAGCUUGAUGGUAGAAACGUCCCUGGAGCAGGGUGGAGACGAACAAAUUUUCCCCAUCUCCGUCCACCAACAGUAGUUGAGCCCGGUUUGUGAAGGGAGAGUACCUGUUUCGAGUUUAAGAUGACUUUUAUGGUUUGGCUUUAGAGUUUCAUAUUCUAAAUUCUCACUCUGCAGGGUAUGAAAUUGAUCGUGGUUGAUUGGUAUAGACUCGUUAGAGGACGAUUUACACUUUCAAGAAGGAUUCGUGAACCAAGAGGGACUAUAGAAGGAGAUUGAGCUUGGAAAUGUAAGGUUUGAUGAAGAAACCAAAAUCAAAAGUCUGCAAUGUGAGAAUUGAUGAUGG